rnacentral:lncRNA from 1 species
AAAAUGACACACCCCGUCCCGAAGGAGGGCAUGUUGGCCGUCACGUGAGAGUGACGUAACCAUUUGCACAGUACGGAAGCUUUAAGAUACAAUUUAAAUUGAUACACCCGAAGGUGAGUCCUAAUUUUGUCCAAUCUGUCAGAACACCGUCGAAUUCCUCGUAGUCACCACACCUUUGUGAUUCCUGAACCUGGAGGGGCGCAAAACCAAAAUUGAGUGGGUCAGUAAAACAAUUCUUUUCCAAAUCCAAACAUUUCUCAAAACGUUGUAACCCCUCUCCGUAAAACCUGUAUACUUUCCCAGAAAUGUAAAAUAUAAAUAUACAUAUAUAUUCUCAAACUUCAUUUUUACUAUCUCAACAUUUUUCUUUAUCAAUCAUGCCAUGCCAUGUCAUCUCAACAUUUCUCAUAUUAAUUAUGCCAUGCCACAUCAUCUCAACAGUAAUAAGGUAUGAAUGCAUCAACAUAAUCAUAUCAGGUGCAAGAAAGUAAUCAACCGUAGGCCCUCUAAUAGCCCUAUACGGUUGAACCUAGAGCUCAAAAUCUAUCAUUAUCACUCUACCGGAGUCACCUCUGUGACCCGUCCGGCCUUCUGCACACAAGUUACGCUCUAGUGCUUCUCAUAAAUCAUCUGUGCACAUAAUCUAAGGUCACCCACCAGUCGGAAUCUCACUAACACUCUCGCGACUGGUCUGUCGUACCCACUCCGCGUGGACUGUACGACUAGCAUCUACUUGGAUCCAAGGCGAGCGUGCGAUGCGGUGAAUACUAUAAGCACUAAACCAUGGUGCAGGAUUUGAGCUCAAUAUAUAUCAUCAUCAUCAUAACAGUAAUUAAAUAUUCAUCUGUGCGUCCACCGCACCAUUUCAUACAUAUGCAUCAUAAAUCAAUUCUUACCUGUGCGUCCACCGCACCAAUUCAUACAUAUGCAUCAUAUAUUAAUUCAUGCAUGGCAUUUCAACUCACAUUUCUAUAUACUUUUCAUAUCAAUUCUAUGCAUGGUAUUUCACUUCCCGUUUUUCCACAUAACUCAUAUGCAUUUCAUUUUAAACAUAAUUUCAUGCAUUUUCAAUUUCUGGGAAAACGUUAAGUAUAUAUAUAUAUAUACGGAAAACAAAACUGCCCACUCACCUGGAGUUCGUCCAACAACUCCCUAGCACCACACAUCAAGGCGUCAUGACGAUCGCCGCCUAGAAUAGUAAUCAAAUCCAGGCUCAGAAUUCAUAUCGAUAGAAUACAUAACUUAUAUAAAAUACGUCACUACGUUGAUCGAUCCGGAAGAUCUGCCACUCAGAUUUUAAAUCCAUAACUUCCAAAGGUCCACACUAUACCUCUAGGACAACAUCCUAAAAUUUCAUUACCAUCCAACGGUCGGAUCUCCGUCAAUUUCCAAAACUAAGUGACGGUUAACAUUUUAUAUUAUGGACUUACAAUUCCAAUUCCGGAAGAUCCGUAACUCGGAUUCCCAAUCCGUAAGUUCCAAUAAUCCUCAAAUAUUACGUAUUACAACGUAUCAAAGUUUGGUGACGAUCCAACGGUCGGAUCAUCAAUUCACAUUUUCACCUAAAUGUGAAAACUAUAAAACGUUAUUUGAACACCUAACCAACAAUCUUCAAUAACUUUCUCAUACGGUGUACAAUUUAGGUAUAUGAAUAUACCACAGUGAUCUACUCGACGUCACGGACGUCGACAUAUUUUUAAAAUAAUUUUAUUUUUAUUUUUUAUUUUUACUGUAGCACCUUCUUCUUCCUUGGGUCGCCGGACUGGUUUUUCCGGCGGCCGUUUUCUGGGCAGUUUUUCAAAUUGCUAUAACUUUGUCAUUUCUCAACGAAAUCAAGUGAUUCAAAAACGAAAGUUGUAGCCCUUGAAGAGACAAAGAGAAUUGUACCUUGCACAACACCUAGUUCGCCGUAGUUUGGCCGGAAACUGCCUCGAAAGCCUCGGAGGUCGCCGGAAACUGGGUAUUUUUCAAAUGAGUAUAACUUCUUCAAUACUCAACGAAAUUGAGUGAAAAAAAAAGGAAAGUUGUAGUACUUGACGAGACGAAGAGAUUGAUACCUACCUCGACUCCUAAAUCGCCGGAGAUUCGCCGGAAAAUGCCUCGAAAGCUCCGGCCAAACUUUGAACUUGUCGAUCUCCGUGUUUUUACGUCCAAAAACUUCCAACGAAGCACUCCGAGCUUCCUUGGGACCUCACUAAGCUCGCUGUGAUCUUGUUUUAGCCUAAAUCGUAACCAUUUAAAAGAUCAUGAACAGUACCAUUUCACGGGAACUUUGAAACUAGGGUUUUUCGAAGCAAAACUUACCUGAAAUUGGUGUCUACGUGAUCGUGGAAGUUCCAGGAGUCCAAAUGUGGUCUUAUCUUGGACGUUUGUUUAUGUUUUAGGUGGUUUUGGGUGAGGUUGAGCGUCGGAGAGGAAGAGAGAGAACUGAGAGUGAGAGAGAGUCGUGAGGGAAGAGAGAUAGAGAGACAAGGUACGGGAAUUGGGGAAGGUUUUGAGGGAUGUGGGGAUCCCACGUGUCCAACUCAAUCCAAAUUGUUAAAUUUUCGCCCCUUAGUCCCGUUUAAGGGCAUUUUCGUCUUUUCAUGUCCUCAGAAUUAAAAUUCCGGGACGGGCUGUGACAAUCUUCCCUCCUUAUAGAAUUUCGUCCCCGAAAUUCCAGCAACCAACUAAAUCAACCAUACUCCAACAAUAGCUUCGGGUAAAUCUUUCUCAUCCGAUUCUCUUUCUCCCACAUACUUUUCUACUGAAUGAUUUCCUUCACAAAGCUUUACUACUUACUCUGUCUUAAUUCUCAGGACCUUCUUUUUCCAAUCCAAAGUCGUCCUUGGUUCCUUAUCAAGUCGAAUCCAAUUUAAUUCUCAAUAGUUACACCAUAAUCCCAUGUGACAAAUCUGCCACCUAGUGACAACGCAUCGAACACAAAAUACAUUAUGUGCCUUAGCCAAUUCUGAAGGCAUCACAAACUUGUAUGCAGCUUCAUCGAUUCUUUUAAUGAUCAAAACGGUCUGAUGUGUUUAAAUCUUAUCUUGUCUCUUUUCCAAUUCUCUUCAUUUCUGUUCGUGGUGAAUUUUCCAAAAAUAUCAAACCAUUUACCUUACACACACUCGAUUAGUGGCAUAUCCAUCUGUUGAUCUCUUUUGCCAUUCCUGGUUACUUCAGGUUAACUUAAUCACCUGAAUACUUUGAGGAGACUCAUCCAUAGUCUCAGGGUCUACUAAAACUCUUUCUUGAUCGAAUCUUUCUCUACCCAGAAACAUUCCAUUCACAAGUCAUCAAAAACCGACUCACGUGACACAUUUCAUGGUCCUUAUGGCGUUACUUCGGAAACUGCACAACCAACAUACUUAAGAAACUUAGCAGUUCCGUAAUCCAAUUCUCUUUUCCAUAAAACAAAUAAGUAGUGUUGCACUGUCUGGGAAAGGUUGUUACUCAACACUGGGGUAAAUGUACUAACUUGUUACUUAACAAGUAUAACUUCUUCUCGAUCUUCCAUUCUUAAUUUUUCUUCCGUUGGUUUUCAAUCCACAAAAUGAUACUCUUGGCAAACGUGCCAGAUAUUAAUCUUACUGUAGUCUUCUCACCAAGUGCUUCAGCUAGAACAAACUUUACGAUCACCCUGAUCGUACAAUCAUGUUCAUUAAGCAAUACAAUUCACUUUCGCUGCCUCAUAUCAAAUUCCUUCCAAGUAAUGGAUAUUGAAGACUUUUUGGAUUCGUAAAAAAAAAUCUUGCAUUCCCACUAAAAUAUAAUGUCUCCAUAACUUCACAGCAAGAAUGGUAAUCGUGACUUCCAAAUCACCAGUAGGGUAAUUCAUCUUAUGAGAUUCCAUUUAUCGUGAAACGUAUGCAAUCACCCUAACAUUUGCAUCAACAUGCCUCCAAUACCAUUCAAGAAACAUCACUAAAAAUUUAUGAUUACCACUAUUCUCUGGGAAUACCAAAAUACGUGCAUGAGUGAGGAAAUACUUCAGUUGUUGAAUCCUUUGCUUACAAUUCCUUCCCACUCAUACCUAACCUCUUUUCUCAACAGUCUCGUCAAUGACAAAGCAAUGACUGAAAAAUCUUUCACAACCAUCCAAGAUAGCCUGGUAAGCUAAGAAAUUCCAAAUCUCAAUUACGACUCGUGGUUGUUCCAAAUUUUAAUUUCUGUUACCUUUUAAGGAUUCACUUGAAUACCUUAAGAAUAUAUAACAUAUCCCAGAAAUGCUGCUUGAUUCAUCCAACAUUCGCAUUUGCUAAACUUAGCAUACAAUCGACAUUCUUCCAAUCUUUGUUCUACCGACUUAAUACGUUUACAUGCUCUGCUCUGGCUCAGAAUAUGCCAGAAUAUCUUCAAUGAAAAUGAUAUCAAUUAUCAAGGCAUUAUUGGAAUACUUCAUCCAUCAACUCAUAAAACCGCAUGAGUAUCCACAUAGCAUCACCAAAACUUUAUAAGGACCAUAACAAGUCCAGAAACCAUCUUAUGAUCAACGUCACUUAUAAUAUUCAAUUGGUAGUAACCAGAUCUCAAUUCAAUCUUUGAAUCUUCGCAAUUACUUCUGAGCUGGUUAAAUAAACAUCAGUACAUCACCAUGGAUAACGGUUCUCAAUCGUUACCCGACUCCAUUGUCUAUAAUCAAUGAACAGUCUCAAGAUCCAUUUUCUUCCUCACCAACAAACUGGGGCUCCUCAAAAGUGUUGUACUAGGUUGAAUAAAACUUUUAUCAACCAAUUCCCUCAACUGAAUUUCCAAUUCCCUUAACUCAUCAUGAACCAAUCUCCAAUAUAAAUUUAUACCUGGCAACAAAUCAAUAGUGAACCUCAUAUCUCUGCCUGAAGGCAAUCCAGGUAUACUUUCAGGGAAGACAUCAAGAAAAGUCUAACUCUUUCGACAUUAUUCACACUACUCCAAACAACAUCAUUUAGCACCACAUGAGCUAAGUAUUUUUGACAGCCUUUCGAAAACAAUCUCUUUGCUCUCACAGCAUAAAUAAUGACUGAACUCAAUCCACUUUGCAUACUUACAAAAGUAAUCUCUGGUCAUCCAGAUCGAUGGAAAGUACUGGUUUCCCAUAACAUUUCGUCUUGUCACAAUUAUAACCAACCAAUCUAAUGGAACAGAAUUAACUGAUACAAUAUAUAUUCUAUUAUUAUUAAGCAUUCCAAAUAAGUACAAUACUAACAUAAAAUAAUCUACCGGUUUACUUACUUAACGAAUCCACGAAUGAGUUAUUAAUAUUACGGUCUGCAGCCCGCAAUACUGAUAAAUCAUCGUUGUCUCGAUAAGUAGGCAACCACUCACAAAGAUAUAACAUUACUAUUUUGUCACUCAAUGCAAAAUACAUACACUCGUCUCAACUACAUUUAUUUACUACUCUCUAGGUAAUAACAUACAUAAUAAGAAAUAUAUCAGCCGAAGUCAACUAGAAUGACCAAUACGGCUGAUUCAACUCUUAUCUCAAUAAUACGUCGGCCGGAUCCACUCCGCGUGGUCGGUACGGCCGAGCCUAUAACUCACCAAUUUCUCAUGUGUCAAUCGAAUCCACUUCUCAUGGUCUGUACGGCUGAACAUAUAACUCAUCAAAUCUCUCUGUACUCACGGUCAAUCCGACCAAACUACUAAAUCCAUAACUCUGCUGAAUCAACACUAUGAUGUCAUAGAAAACUGUUGGGUACAACUGAUUCUAGGGACGAUUCACAAUUCUGUGUCCCCUCUGUUCACAUAAACACAUUCAUUAAUUUCACACUUCCCAAAGUGUUAAUUUUGUACCUGCUGCACAAGGUACAUUUCCUUUACUCGAGACACCUUGUCUCAAAUAUCUGGGAUUACUAGUAUAUCCAUCACUUUUACUCUGACCAGCGACAUUAAAACCUCAGCUGGAAGAAUUAACUCUAGCUUCACUUCUUUCGAAGCUCUGAAUCUUUCUAUAUCCUUGAUAUGACGAAUCAUUAACUUUAUCGUCUUCUUUUAAUUCCCAUUCAUUUCUUAUUCUUCUUUAUUCUCGUUGCUCAUGUUCUCAGAGUCCUCAAGACUCAACAGCAUCUCGUAUAUUCCUGGUAAGAAGUAUAAUGGAUAGUGGUCACCCAAAAUACCACUUCCCUUUUUGCCACCCAGCUUAAAACAACAUAACACCUCCACCAAAUUAACAACAAUAUCUGGAUGGAACGAGGCAAGUCUGAAAACUUUCUAUAAUAUCCCUCGAUCAUCACCUUCCUUGUCUCAUAUUUGUAAACUCUUGUUUACUACCAUCGAUAAAUGUCGGAGGGAUAAACUUUUCCUUAAACAAGUCCUUAAACAAUUUUAAAUCGGCUGAUUCCUCUGGUGACAACAAUUAAUACUCCUGCUUCCAUCAGGAUACACGUUCAUAACUCAAACCAGGUAGUCAUCUCGACCCCUUGUCAGAAGGAAGAUUCCUUUGACUUGCAUAAUCCGAAACAUCUUUUCCAAAUGGUUAAACCGUUACUUCGCUCCCUCAGGUUCAUCAUUUCUCUUAAGUGAUUCAAAUUCAACUCAUAACCCGUCUUAAAAUGUCCAUUUUUCUAAUAUACUGAAUCACCAUAAGAAUAGUUUCCCCUAACCCGCUAAAUCAGGGAGACUAAGUUCCUCUAACUACGUGGUUUGCUACGAGGCGGUGUAGUUCUGACAGAAUUCACUAGAAACUUCUCAAGAUGUCCAAGAUUGCAACCAUGCUCUGAUACCAACUGACACACCCCGUCCCGAAGGAGGGCAUGUUGGCCGUCACGUGAGAGUGACGUAACCAUUUGCACAGUACGGAAGCUUUAAGAUACAAUUUAAAUUGAUACACCCGAAGGUGAGUCCUAAUUUUGUCCAAUCUGUCAGAACACCGUCGAAUUCCUCGUAGUCACCACACCUUUGUGAUUCCUGAACCUGGAGGGGGCGCAAAACCAAAAUUGAGUGGGUCAGUAAAACAAUUCUUUUUCCAAAUCCAAACAUUUCUCAAAACGUUGUAACCCCUCUCCGUAAAACCUGUAUACUUUCCCAGAAAUGUAAAAUAUAAAUAUACAUAUAUAUUCUCAAACUUCAUUUUUACUAUCUCAACAUUUUUCUUUAUCAAUCAUGCCAUGCCAUGUCAUCUCAACAUUUCUCAUAUUAAUUAUGCCAUGCCACAUCAUCUCAACAGUAAUAAGGUAUGAAUGCAUCAACAUAAUCAUAUCAGGUGCAAGAAAGUAAUCAACCGUAGGCCCUCUAAUAGCCCUAUACGGUUGAACCUAGAGCUCAAAAUCUAUCAUUAUCACUCUACCGGAGUCACCUCUGUGACCCGUCCGGCCUUCUGCACACAAGUUACGCUCUAG